rnacentral:rRNA from 1 species
GUGGAUUAGAUACCCUGGUAGUCCACGCCCUAAACGAUGUCGACUAGUUGUUCGGGAAGGUGACUUCUUGAGUAACGUAGCUAACGCGUGAAGUCGACCGCCUGGGGAGUACGGCCGCAAGGUUAAAACUCAAAGGAAUUGACGGGGACCCGCACAAGCGGUGGAUGAUGUGGAUUAAUUCGAUGCAACGCGAAAAACCUUACCUACCCUUGACAUGUCUGGAAGUCUGCAGAGAUGCGGAUGUGCCUUCGGGAACCAGAACACAGGUGCUGCAUGGCCGUCGACAACU